UACAGAGGUCCCAAGCGUUGUUCGGAUUCACUGGGCGUAAAGAGCGUGUAGGCGGCCAGGUAGGUCGGUUGUGAAAACUGGAGGCUCAACCUUCAGAGGUCGACCGAAACCAUCUGGCUAGAGUCCGGGAGAGGAGAGUGGAAUUCCUGGUGUAGCGGUGAAAUGCGCAGAUAUCAGGAAGAACACCCGUGGCGAAAGCGGCUCUCUGGAACGGUACUGACGCUGAGACGCGAAAGCGUGGGGAGCGAACAGG
rnacentral:rRNA from 1 species